rnacentral:lncRNA from 1 species
AAAAAGUUAGUCAAAUAAAAAGAGAAAGUUAUGCACAACUGCCAGAAAUGUUGAGUUUUUUUGUGAAAGUAUUAGAGUGCAUAAGGCAGUAUAGUAGUUAUGGUAUGGAAAUUUGCUAUCAUUUGUGCUUCUGCUCAUAUGGUGGCAAACUUGAUUUGAAAGUUACAUCUGAAGAUGUUUUUGAGAUGCUGAACUCCUAUAAUGAAUAUCUCAAACUUAACAAUCUUAUUGAAAUAAGGAAGCAAAGCAUGAAAAAUUGGAUUUCAAUCUAAGCCAGAAAUAAGAUUAUCACAAUUUCAAAAUUGAUUGAGGCGGUUGGACUUAUUGAACCUACAUGGAGAUUCUUGAAGACUGAUUCAAAUAUGCAAUGAACAACAACAAUUCAAGGAAUAAAGGGGAUAUAAAAGUAUAUAUUAAUUUCUAGCACUUCUGGGCGGUUCCAGU